rnacentral:rRNA from 1 species
GAUGAACGCUGGCGGCGUGCCUAAUACAUGCAAGUCGAGCGGUAAGGCCCCUUCGGGGGUACACGAGCGGCGGACGGCAGAGUAACACGUAGGAACGUACCCCAAAGUGAGGGAUAGCCCACCGAAAGGUGGAUUAAUACCGCAUGUGGUCUUCGGAUUAAAGCAGUAAUGCGCUUUGGGAACGGCCUGCGUAAGAUUAGCUUGUUGGUGAGGUAAUGGCUCACCAAGGCGACGAUCUUUAGCUGGUCUGAGAGGAUGAUCAGCCUGACUGGGACUGAGACACGGCCCAGACUCCUACGGGAGGCAGCAGUAGGGAAUUUUCCACAAUGGGCGAAAGCCUGAUGGAGCAACGCCGCGUGCAGGAUGAAGGCCUUCGGGUUGUAAACUGCUUUUGUCUGAGAAGAAUAUGACGGUAACAGACGAAUAAGGGUCUGCUAACUACGUGCCAGCAGCCGCCGUAA